rnacentral:rRNA from 1 species
GACGAACGCUGGCGGCGGGCUUAACACAUGCCAGUCGAACGGAAAGGCCCUGCUUGUGUGGGGUGCUAGAGUGGCGAACGGGUGUGUAACACGUGAAUAACCUGCCCUUGACUGUGGGAUAACUUCAGGAGACUGGGGCUAAUACAGGAUACGAGCUCCUGCAGCAUGGGGGGGGUUGGAAAGUUUAGGCGGUUGGGGAUGGACGGGCGGCUUAUCAGCUAGUUGGUGGGGUAGUGGCUUACCCAGGCAUUGACGGGUAGCCGGCCUGGGAGGUGGACCGGGCACAUGGGGACUGAGAGACGGACCAGACUCCUACGGGAGGCAGCAGGGGGGAAUAUUGCACAAUGGGCGGAAGCCUGAUGCAGCAACGCCGCGUGCGUGAUGACGGCCUUCGGGGUGUAAACCGCUUUCGCCUGUGACGAAGCGGGAGUGACGGUAAUGGGUAAAGAAGCACCGGCUAACUACGUG